CAUUAAAGAGUUCUAUAACUCCCAAACCCAUGUGAACAUACCUAACGUUGCCUCGGCAGGUCGCACCUACCUUGUAGCACCCUACCCUGUAGGGCCUACCCGGGAGGUGCGGGUAAGCCUGCCGGCGGCCCACCAAACUCUGUUUGAUAUUGAAUUCUGAACCUAUAACUAAAUAAGUUAAAACUUUCAACAACGGAUCUCUUGGUUCUGGCAUCGAUGAAGAACGCAGCGAAAUGCGAUAAGUAAUGUGAAUUGCAGAAUUCAGUGAAUCAUCGAAUCUUUGAACGCAUAUUGCGCCCAUUAGUAUUCUAGUGGGCAGGACCGUUCGAGCGUCAUUUCAACCCUUAAGCCUUCGUUGCUUAGUGUUGGGAGCCUACGGCAACGUAGCUCCUCAAAGUUAGUGGCGGAGUUGGUUCACACUCUAGACGUAGUAAUUUUUUAUCUCGCCUAUUAGUUGGACUAAUCCCCUGCCGUAAAACCCCCAAUUUAUCAAGGUUGACCUCGAAUCGGUUCAGACAAACUCGCUAAAUUGAAGCAUCUUAGUCAGCGAAGGAAAAGAAACCAACAGGGAUUGCCCUAGUAACGGCGAGUGAAGCGGCAACAGCUCAAAUUUGAAAUCUGGCCCUCGGGUCCGAGUUGUAAUUUGUAGAGGAUGCUUUUGGCGCGGUGCCUUCCGAGUUCCCUGGAACGGGACGCCUUAGAGGGUGAGAGCCCCGUACGGUUGGACACCAAGCCUCUGUAAAGCUCCUUCGACGAGUCGAGUAGCUUGGGAAUGCUGCUCU
rnacentral:rRNA from 1 species